rnacentral:rRNA from 1 species
GCGAGAGAGAGCUUGCUUUCUCAGCGAGUGGCGAACGGGUGAGUAGCGCGUGAGGAACCUGCCUCAAAGAGGGGGACAACAGUUGGAAACGACUGCUAAUACCGCAUAAGCCCACGGCUCGGCAUCGAGCAGGGGGAAAAGGAGCAAUCCGCUUUGAGAUGGCCUCGCGUCCGAUUAGCUAGUUGGUGAGGUAACGGCCCACCAAGGCGACGAUCGGUAGCCGGACUGAGAGGUUGAACGGCCACAUUGGGACUGAGACACGGCCCAGACUCCUACGGGAGGCAGCAGUGGGGAAUAUUGCACAAUGGGGGAAACCCUGAUGCAGCGACGCCGCGUGGAGGAAGAAGGUCUUCGGAUUGUAAACUCCUGUUGUUGGGGAAGAUAAUGACGGUACCCAACAAGGAAGUGACGGCUAACUACGUGCCAGCAGCCGCGGUAAAACGUAGGUCACAAGCGUUGUCCGGAAUUACUGGGUGUAAAGGGAGCGCAGGCGGGAAGACAAGUUGGAAGUGAAAUCUAUGGGCUCAACCCAUAAACUGCUUUCAAAACUGUUUUUCUUGAGUAGUGCAGAGGUAGGCGGAAUUCCCGGUGUAGCGGUGGAAUGCGUAGAUAUCGGGAGGAACACCAGUGGCGAAGGCGGCCUACUGGGCACCAACUGACGCUGAGGCUCGAAAGUGUGGGUAGCAAACAGGAUUAGAUACCCUGGUAGUCCACACCGUAAACGAUGAUUACUAGGUGUUGGAGGAUUGACCCCUUCAGUGCCGCAGUUAACACAAUAAGUAAUCC